AAUCCUCCUGCCUCAGCCUCCCGAGUGCUGGGAUUACAGGCGUGCGCCACCACGUCCAGUUGUUAAUGCUUUCUUAGUUCAGUGGCCUAGUUGGACUUUCUCCUUCCCCUUCAGGGUUCUAAAGAGCUGCUUUUGGUGAUUUUCUUCUAUUCUGAUUUUUAACCUCAGUCUUUCAAAACAUGGCAUUUAGUGGCUUCACCUUCAUUUCCCUUUGAUUCCAGUUUCUUCAGCUCUCUUCGCUUUCUUUUCGAGUACAGAUAAUCAUUUUCAUAUAACAUGUACAUGAUAUAUGUCAAAAUCUCCUUUAAGGAAAUACUCUCUGUCAAAUCUUGCAUGGAUUAGAGUGAAUGUAAUAAUCAAAAUGUAACUGGGUUUCAGACACUGCUAUUUUAUUGUGGGUUUUCUCACUAAUGUAUGCCUCAGUACACUAGAACAGACCUUUGCUUCCACCUGUACCGACUCUGAGGGUUAAAGGAGUUUGGAGAUUUUACAGAAGUUGGAAGAGUAAAGAGAGGAAAUCCAAGUGGCUCCUGAUCAUCCUGCAGAAUAGAAGCAGAUGGAAGGUUACUCCAAGGACCAAUCUCUGACACUGGAUCCAUGAGCUGCAACUGGUGAACUUCAGAAAAAGCAAGCGGGAAGUGAACUUUGGGCUUACUCUUCAGAAUUUGUUUCUUGAGACCAGCUGACUUCCUCAGAUGCUCCAGUCUGAACCUUAGAAAUUCUCCUUGUUGCCAGGCAUCGUGGUGCACACCUGUAAUCCCAGCACUCAGGAAGCCAAAGCAGGAGGAUUACUGCAAGUCUGAGCCUCAGAUUGGAUCCAAGGACCAGUCAGAUGGUUCGACCAAUCUUCCACUGCUCAGUGGGUGAAGGCUGGUAAGGAGAUGGGCCUGGUCCAGGCCAAUCCACCCCUCACCCUGCUGAAGGCAGUCCCAGCUGGGAAAGCAGCUGUUUUUUUUGUUUUGUUUUGUUUUGUUUAUGUUUUCAGCUGAGUUUUUGCUGUUUUGUUCUUGCCCUGGUCCCUCCCGGCUAUAAAAACUUGUUUACAAGAAAAUAUCUAAUACUUUUUACUU